UUUCUCAUUUUCAAAGACAUUUCUUCAAUUGUAUAAUAAACUGAUGGAGGAUCGGUGGCUAAGUGAUUGUUAAAACAUAUGAACAUCAUGUUGAAAUGGAGAAAGGCAAUAAGGCAAAUAAAAGAAUAGACACUCCAGAUGAAUAGAGUACAUGAUUUAGUGGACAGUACAGAUUGUAAUGAUCAAGAUUUUGAACUAAAGCCAAUGGCAGAUUGACAAUGUCAAACUUACAACAUCAAAUACAAGUGAAGAUGGCCCCAAUGCUGAAGACAUUCUUAAGGAAGCUCUAAAAAAGCCCAGAUUGAUGCCUCUUCGGAAAUCCACAAAGACGUGAUGAAAGCAUUGUAAAAGCUAGUGACAAUCCACAGUUGUAUUCUUACGUGGCUUGAAUGUUAUAAAUGUCAAGAAAGCAAAUUAGGUAAAAACUAUACAUUUUAUUGACAAGCUUAUGUUAGACUUAGAAAAUAUAUUUUUUUAAUUGCUUAUUCUUUAGAAUGGGAGAAUACUUCAAUAUAGGGACUCAAACAUUAUGAGCAGCUGUUAGUUUUUAAUUAUGCUUAUGAAAGGAAUGGGAAUGACAGAGAGACAGUGUGGGCUAAUAAAAAUGGUGCUCAGGUGUAUUGUUUUGUAAUAAAGAAUCGUUUCAUAGCUUUUCAGGUACUGCUAGUUAGAAUGCUAUGUAACAUUAUAAUGAGUUUGUAAUAAUUAUAAUUCAUUGUGUUAUAUAUUUGUAUUUAUAUUUAUUUGUAAAGAAUUAAGUUACUCUGUAAUAAUAAUAUAAGACAUCAUUUUAGGUCUUUCUGUGUAGCAAAUAUAUUGCACUAUUAUUUCAUUCCUAGCAGUAGAUUAUGUAAUUUAUUGAAUGAUAUUAAAGAGCUUUCAUAUUAAUG
rnacentral:sRNA from 1 species